UGAGUUGGCCGGGCGGCCGCGGCAGUCUUCGGAUUGUCGAGGAAAGUCCGGACUCCAUAGAGCACGGUGGUGGCUAACGGCCACCCACGGUGACGUGCGGGACAGUGCCACAGAAAACAGACCGCCAGCGGCCCUUCGGGGUGCGGGUAAGGGUGAAACGGUGAGGUAAGAGCUCACCAGCACGAUCGGUGACGGUCGUGGCUCGGUAAACCCCACCGGGAGCAAGACCAAGAGGACGUUUCGGCGUCUGCGCUGACGGGCUGCUCGUCUGUAUCAGCGGGUAGGUCGCACCGAGGUGUCCAGUAAUGGGCAUCCCAGAUGGAUGGUCGCCUAUCCCUUCGGGGAAGACAGAAUCCGGCUUAUAGGCCAACUCAUUCG
rnacentral:RNase_P_RNA from 1 species